AUGAACGCUGGCGGCGUGCUUAACACAUGCAAGUCGAGCGAAGCACUUAGGAAAGAUUCUUCGGAUGAUUUCCUAUUUGACUGAGCGGCGGACGGGUGAGUAACGCGUGGGUAACCUGCCUCAUACAGGGGGAUAACAGUUAGAAAUGACUGCUAAUACCGCAUAAGACCACAGCACUGCAUGGUGCAGGGGUAAAAACUCCGGUGGUAUGAGAUGGACCCGCGUCUGAUUAGUUAGUUGGUGGGGUGACGGCCUACCAAGGCGACGAUCAGUAGCCGACCUGAGAGGGUGACCGGCCACAUUGGGACUGAGACACGGCCCAAACUCCUACGGGAGGCAGCAGUGGGGAAUAUUGCACAAUGGGGGAAACCCUGAUGCAGCGACGCCGCGUGAGCGAAGAAGUAUUUCGGUAUGUAAAGCUCUAUCAGCAGGGAAGAAAAUGACGGUACCUGACUAAGAAGCCCCGGCUAACUACGUGCCAGCAGCCGCGGUAAUACGUAGGGGGCAAGCGUUAUCCGGAUUUACUGGGUGUAAAGGGAGCGUAGACGGAGCAGCAAGUCUGAUGUGAAAACCCGGGGCUCAACCCCGGGACUGCAUUGGAAACUGUUGAUCUGGAGUGCCGGAGAGGUAAGCGGAAUUCCUAGUGUAGCGGUGAAAUGCGUAGAUAUUAGGAGGAACACCAGUGGCGAAGGCGGCUUACUGGACGGUAACUGACGUUGAGGCUCGAAAGCGUGGGGAGCAAACAGGAUUAGAUACCCUGGUAGUCCACGCCGUAAACGAUGACUACUAGGUGUCGGGUGGCAAAGCCAUUCGGUGCCGCAACCAACGCAAUAAGUAGUCCACCUGGGGAGUACGUUCGCAAGAAUGAAACUCAAAGGAAUUGACGGGGGCCCGCACAAGCAGUGGAGUAUGUGGUUUAAUUCGACGCAACGCGAAGAACCUUACCAGGGCUUGACAUAUAGAGGAAUAACUAAGAGAUUAGUUAGCUCUUCGGAGUCUCUAUACAGGUGGUGCAUGGUUGUCGUCAGCUCGUGUCGUGAGAUGUUGGGUUAAGUCCCGCAACGAGCGCAACCCCUAUCUUCAGUAGCCAGCGGUAAGGCCGGGCACUCUGGAGAGACUGCCAGGGAUAACCUGGAGGAAGGUGGGGAUGACGUCAAAUCAUCAUGCCCCUUAUGAGCAGGGCUACACACGUGCUACAAUGGCGUAAACAAAGGGAAGCGAACCCGCGAGGGUGGGCAAAUCCCAAAAAUAACGUCUCAGUUCGGAUUGUAGUCUGCAACUCGACUACAUGAAGCUGGAAUCGCUAGUAAUCGCGAAUCAGAAUGUCGCGGUGAAUACGUUCCCGGGUCUUGUACACACCGCCCGUCACACCAUGGGAGUCAGUAACGCCCGAAGUCAGUGACCCAACCGUAAGGAGGGAGCUGCCGAAGGUGGGACCGAUAACUGGGGUG
rnacentral:rRNA from 1 species